GACGAACGCUGGCGGCGUGCUUAACACAUGCAAGUCGAACGGAAAGGCCCUGCUUUUGUGGGGUGCUCGAGUGGCGAACGGGUGAGUAACACGUGAGUAACCUGCCCUUGACUUUGGGAUAACUUCAGGAAACUGGGGUUAAUACCGGAUAGGAGCUCCUGCUGCAUGGUGGGGGUUGGAAAGUUUCGGCGGUUGGGGAUGGAUUCGCGGCUUAUCAGCUUGCUGGUGGGGUAGUGGCUUACCAAGGCUUUGACGGGUAGCCGGCCUGGGAGGGUGACCGGCCACAUUGGGACUGAGAUACGGCCCAGACUCCUACGGGAGGCAGCAGUGGGGAAUAUUGCACAAUGGGCGGAAGCCUGAGGCAGCAACGCCGCGUGCGGGAUGACGGCCUUCGGGUUGUGAACCGCUUUCGCCUGUGACGAAGCGUGAGUGACGGUAAUGGGUAAAGAAGCACCGGCUAACUACGUG
rnacentral:rRNA from 1 species